rnacentral:lncRNA from 1 species
GGGAUGGAGAGAAAAAUCAGCUGUUCAGCUCCCUCUCUGCUCUCCAGUGAAAGCCCUGAGACUGGAAAUCUCUACGAUUCUUCUCCAGUGCUUUUCAAGUUUUAAUCGAAGAACAUCUUUGUGAUCAGAUUAACCAAAUAUUGACCCCCAAAAGGAAGCUAAGACUCAGAGAAGAUCGGUAGAGACCUUUCAAGCCUCUAAUAUGUGAGGAAAUGACCAGCUCGAAGCAGAUACUAAUUUUCCCUGCCCCCUCACCCCCACCCCAAUGAGCUGGCACAUGCUGGAGGUGGUGCAUGGCAGAGCUGCGCUGCUCCUAAGAGGUAUGUUUCUGAAGAGAACGGGAAAUGGGCACCGCUGCACACAGGUGUGGUCCUCUGUGGUCCCACCCGUCUUCCCAGAAAGUCCCUGGAGUAGCCACACCUAAGAAAGUGAUCCAAUCAAGAAAACAAAACAUUCCACCCUGCAUCAGGGUCAGCAGUUUAGGAGGUGACGGGAACUGAGUUCUGCGAUAUUACUGUCGCCAGUGGUGACUUGCACAGAGGAGCCCCUGGAGCCCCUGAGAGCCACACCUGGCCCCUCGGACACCAAACUCAUGGCCGCCUAGCACUCAGAUGACGGGGGAGCUGUGCCUUCUUGGCAGGCAGGACCCUGCCAACAGGUAAGACUUCCCAGACUGGGAGUAAACACAGGCAGUCCUUCCAGAUCAGGUGUGCGUGUCUGUCUGGCGGAGAGGAGGCAGGGAUCAAUUGCAGGGGAAAGAACUUGAGCUGGUGCACGAGGAAAAUGAGAGCUUUUCUUCCUCAGUUCAAGAGCUGCCUCAGCAGCCAAUGACAGAGUAUCUGCCUGGGGUUUUAUGUUGUUUUACACCAGGUAAAGCUGCUUUCAGCCAACAAUAUUCCCUGUGCCAGGGACUAUGCACGGACUGGGAGAAGAAGUGGAGGACAGACUGUGAUGAUCUCUGACUUUCUGGAGGCUCAGCUGAACUGGGGAGAUGGAUGCUGCAUGAGAGACUAAGCUAACAGAGGAAAUGAUGCUCUGAAGGAAGUGGAAAUGGUGAACAUCAGGGCUGGACUGUUUUGGAUCUGAAGGCAAAGCAAGCACUUUCUGAGGAGAGCACCUUUAAACCAAAUUAACAAUUGUGGUGCUGGAGAAGACUCUUGA